AGCUUGCUCGCGCGCCCACCUCAAUUCGCCGCAGGUCAGCUAGCGCGCGGCGCGGCUUGGUCAUGCAUGGCGCGCAGCCACCACGCCAGACACCCACUAACCCACCUGACCACCGGGAUGGAAACCCUAGCCCCGCGCCCUUCCCGGUCGAGCUUGCUGCUGCUACUUGCUAGUAGCUAGCUAGCUAGUCCAGGUCCAGGCUAGCGCAUGCUACCUUCGCAGCUGGCCCACCACCACCACCUCCGGUGCACCUCCCCCUCCUCGCGCUCUCGCCUCCCCCUGCCUAUAUAAAUCCACUGGCCGGUGGGCCGGUCCGGUGUGCACGCCUCAGCUUCUCGACCGCGAUCCGUCGCCGUGUGGUUGGUGUACGUUGCGGUCUCUUCACGCGCUCGCGCGCGCGGCGAGGUAUGUGUGUGUCCGCGGGUUUCAUCGUGGGGGUGUGAGCUAGCUAGCUAGGCGAGCGUGAGUGGGUGUGGAGGAUGGCGGUGUCUCCGGCCGGCGGGCGGGCGGGCCGGUGGCGCGAGGUGACAGAAGAGAGUGAGCACACGGCCGGGCGUGACGGCACCGGCGGGCGUGCCGUCGCGGCCGCGUGCUCACUGCUCUUUCUGUCAUCCGGUGCCGGCCGUUUUCUCCCCCUCCCGCGGCUAGCUAAGCUGGCCUCUCGGCCCCUCGCCGGCCGGCCGGUCGCCGACGGAAUCCCCUGUACUGCUCCGCGCGCCAUGAGCUGUUCCGAGUCUCUAGGCUCUUUAGAUUAAUUCGAUCCCCUCUUCUCCGGCGCAAUCGUGCAUAGGCGCAGUUGCCAGGUUCUAGAUCUCUCACAAUCGAAUUGAUGCAUUUCUGCGAUUUUUCGUUCGUGUUCCAGCGCCGUGAGGCGGUGUGUAUCCUCGGUUUUUCUAGUUUGCCAAGCUAUUUGUACUCGACUCCUUCUAAAAUCUCGGCGAAAAACAUUUCGUUCGUGUUCUUUUGGGUAAUCCAACUAGAGGAGUAGUACUAGCAUGGCACUGUUCGGAUGGGGAAUUGGAGUCGGUGUUGAUGCCUGUACCGUAGGAGUACCAGCGCUUGCUGUUGCUGUUUUCCAUAUCUCCUGCGUCAAUUCGUACGACGCCCUUCUCUUCAUCUUUUGCGAGGAGCCUAGCUACUAGUUGUACUAGUACCUGCUAGUACUAGCCAUCUUUUCCAUUCCCCUUCUUGGGAAGGAAAUGCAAUAUUUACUGCGCCAUUGAUGGAUCUUGGCUCUUGGGAGAAGCAAAUCAUCGCAGGAAUCUCCCAGGGCAUGUUUGAAAUUUUAACCAGAUCGAGAUCUUUUAACUUGUUUCAACUUGUUCCUAGCUUCGAUCUUCUUCUGUAGCGCCCCAUCCAGUGUUACAGUCAAAUUAAGCACACAAGUGUGGAGAGAUCAGCUAGCUAGAUGAUGAGGAUCGGAGGAGAGGAGGAGGAGGAAGGAGGACAGGCAGGAACAGUACGGAGACCCAGAUCUGCUUGGGCGGCUUCCCCUUAUCAUCAGUCAGUUAUCUUCUGCUGUCUGCUGGUCCUCCAUGUUCUUGAGAAUUAACACCUCACAUCUCGCUCUGGCAUUCAAAGUAGGGAGUAAUGGUGCAACGAUGCAUUGUCCCCCAAUGGCUCCAAAAAUGUAGGAUACUGUUGGGCCACUGUUCCAUUCAUGGUGCUCGUACUUACCACCCUCUCUCGGUUCAGAGUCCAUAUAUAUCCCCCACUAGUUUGACUUGAGUUUAAUUUGCUGGGCUCCUGUGACAAGAUCGGAAGAAACUCUCCAGGCCACAAGAUUCAAGUCUUUGAAAAAAAAAUUAAGGCCACAGGAUUAAUUGCUCGAUAUAUGUAGUCCAUGGACAAAGCUAAGCUAUAGCAAAUGUACUUGCUGAUACGAGUCUUGAAAAUCUGAAUUUAUUUUUGAGAUAUUGGAAUAUUGUGAGUAUAGAGGCCAAGUGGUUCGACUUAAAUUUUUCCUUAAUUAAGGUGAAAUAUUGCCUGGAUUUUUGUUGUCCUGAUAAAGUGAUUUGAUGUGCACGCGCUAGCUGGAUGCAGAUAACAAUGAAGUUUGGCUAAGAGUCGGUCUACUAAUGACAUAGCUAGAGAAGGCAUGCAUUAAGUUUACAGUGCAACUAGUCAUGCACGGUGAGAUAAUACACCAAAAACUAGCAAGUGUCAAAUAUGCUAGUAGCUGGUUUCUCUGCUGAAAUGGGUGAGGUCUAAGUGAAUGCAUUGUUUUUUUUCACAAAUUUAAAUGUAUAUAUAUUGUGAAAGUACCUAAGUUAGUAUGCAAUAUUGCAUGCGAUAAGUAUAGAAUUUAUGUGCCGAUAGUUAGCAAUUGAUAUUUUUAACUGCUCACUUCAAUUCAUGCAUGUCUAAUAGGAAUAUCUCAGAUAGCAUAUUGUUCUAGCUAGGUUCCGUGGCAAUUUCAGUUGUUACUGGUCCACUUGAAAGUCUAUGGGUCGUAGUUAAGUCACACCUUAUCGAUGCAAAGUACGAUAUCUCUCCUCUCUUGUUCAUUUUUCCACUGCCCAUAAAUAUCUUGUUUAUAAGUAUAUAUCAAAGAAUCAGUUACUAACACUGGAUCAUGGAUCUUACAUGCAUACCUGCUGCUGGUUUUUAUAAGUCAAGAACUCGAGCAUGCACAUGAAAUUGAUCAUUCAUGCAUAACCUAAUUAAAGUCUUUUCACAAACAUGUUAAUGAUCACUUUGCUGCAUCUAAUUUUAUUGGAGUACUCCAUGCAUGUCUCUAUCUUAUGCAUGCCACAUUAUCUUUUUUUUUAAUCCAACAAUUAUAUAUAUAUGACUAUCUCUUGGAUUAUCGAUCCCCCCUCGAUUCCAUGGCAUUAAUUAACAUCAUGCACGAAUUUUACUUUAAUUUUGGCCACUUACUAAUUAGUUCUAGUAAAUUCUUGGUUUAUGACCGGCAUCCUUAAUCCAUGCGUUUGAUUAAAAAAAUGGGAGGAUUAGCUAAACAUAUACGAUCAUGUUUAGAAAAGCAUAUACCAUGAAUUAAUUUAUUCAUCUCAUACUUCUUCCCGUUUCCCAUUUGUAAAUAAAAUAUUUAAUGAGAACUAAGAAUUUAUCCGUUUUAAAUGUGUCACGCAAGGAUUAUUUAAAUGAAGCAUAAGGUUAAAUAAUUAAGUAUAAUGCAUCAUAAAGUAAUUUUACCAAGUUUUAUCAUUCACUUUAAUUGAGGACAUCAUGAAUAUAAUUGAUGUAACAUUAUCUUAUAUACUAAUUUACCAUUGUGUUCGUGAAAACUAACCAAGGCAUUUCUUACCCUUUUUUUUCAAUUAAUUUGGAGUAAAUCCAUGUGGGAAGAAAACUCUACAAUAAAAGUUCUUUUUUCAUUUUGUGUUAUUUUAUGAUAUUAACCAAAUGUGGUUUAUGUGCAUAAACUGUCCAUUGAUUUUUCUUAAGGCCAACAGCACAUUUGAAAGGUACUAAGUUUAUAUAUGGGUGGCUAAUAUAUAAUCAGUUUUCCCGCACAUUUGAAAGGUACUUAUAUUCAAUUAACUAUAAGAAUGUGUUUGGAUAAUGGGAAAUGAGAGGUGGGAUUGGGAUUGGGAAAUGAAUGAAGGGUUAGGAUUAAGUGGAAGAGGAAGAAUGAAUGGUUAGGAUUUAAAGAUGUCUUUUAAUGGGUGGGAAAUCAUUUCCCUAUCCCAUUAGCCAAACGAGGCCUAAGCUCUUUGAAAUUAUCAUCAGUUUCCAGCUAGCUAGUUCUUGGCAAAAAUCAUAAGACAAGAAUUUAUCUAUAUAUAUAUAUAUCUUGGAGAUAAUGCCGAGUUAAUUAAAACUGCAAAUAUGUACACCUGAUAAAUUUCAUCCACUUGCUGUGAGUAUUGUUUUGUAGGUACAGAGAUUUUAACUAGUCCGUCCUUAAAAAAAAAACUAUAUAUGUCAAAGGUUUAAGUAGGGCCGGGAAUCGAUUUUGCACUAUACUUUAGAGCGUAUAUAUGUACACGAAAUGGUUGCAUCUUUUGUGUUCUAUUUGUAACCUGAUCAUAAAUCAAUUAGUUAAGAUGAAAGAAAGGGAGAUAUUGUUAUCAACAUGUGGCCUUAGCUGAUCGUCUUUGUUUUACUUCAUACUCAAACAUAGUUUUGAAUAGAUAUGAUUGAGUAUGGAGUAAAAUCUUCGUUUGAGUAUGUCAAAUCUUCGUUCUGAUGAUAGUUCCUGUUCAACCAUAUACUUGUGAACAGGAACUAUAUAUGUCAAAUCUAUUCAACAAUAUCUAUUCAAAAGCUAUACUUUUUUGUUUGAGAAUUACACAGUACAACGCACGCGCACCCACCCCUAUGAACACACGCACGCAAACCCUACCCCUAUGAGCAUCUUCGAAGACUGGGCCGGCAAAUUCCUACCACUGAAAGCACAAUGCCAUUAAAUCCUGAAAAAUUCGCUUCCAUGAGGAGUCGAACCCAGGACCUUAGAUGCUACUGAGGCUCUUGUAACCACUAGGCUACACUUGUGAACUGGAACUAUGUCAAAUCUUCGUUCUGAUGGCUAUGUUCUUCCAUUUUAGUUGAUUUUGCAGAAUAUAUAUGAUCUUGGAGAAAAACAAAUUGUCGUGGACAAUAUAUGUUCUAGCAACUCAAUUCGAUCGCAGAUUAUAAAGGAUUGAUGCAUACUACAAGCUAGUCCUUUGUAUAUUUUUAAGCACCCAUCAUAUUUGUUGCACAUGACUGAAAUUAAGAGUAAUUAUUAGCUAUGUUCUGUCGUUUUAAUUGAUUGUGUAGAUGAGAAUAUGAUGUGUUUCCAAACAAUUGAAUCAAUUCUCUCCGCCUAAAUAAUACUUGAUGCUACGAGCCCUUUUCUUUUGUAUUUUAAAGCACCGGGAUACAUAUCUUCCUUACGAUGCAUAUUUACCAUGCAUGCAUGCAACAUAUGUACUUGCCAUGGUGCAUCGAUGAAUCUGUAUCACACCCUCUAGCUAGCUAGCUGCUGAUCAAUGUCUGAAUUGUCGCUUUAUUUGAGAUUCUUGGAGAAAGCAAUGGCUGCUUCGACGUGGUCUAUCGUUUUCUCGGUGAUGCCUUUUAAUAAGAUAGUACUCAAUCAACAUGCUAUCUUUUGAUCAGGCUCAAUUAAUUUGCCCAAAAAAUCUCUUGAAUCCAAGCUAAAUCAAGAUGCUAGUUGUUGCAACUUGCAACUGAUGGUUUAUCAAAUCAGAAAGGUUGAUUUGUGAAUGCGUAUAUGGUUCGAAUGAAAUCUUGCUUUCGCAUGCAACGUAUACACUGACGUCUGUCUGAAACCAUAGCUUGCUCUCGUCUGGUAUUCUAGAUUUCCCAGGCUAAUUAAUCAAGUCGCGCGCUGCAACCAUAACUUGACUACUAUUCUUCGCCUGGAAAAAUUUCACUUGUUCUGAUCAAGUUUAUGGAGCAAAAUUAAGUGUACUGUACCGUAAAUGGACGGAGCAGCACACGGGCUGGCAGCGAUCGGAACUAGCUUGAAACGCAACGAUGGCAACGGGGAGGUGGAAGGGAGCGAUAGAUGCUAUUGUUCUUCCUCGUCGUCCCCUCUGUUUCGCGCAUUCUGCACGGUCCGUGGACCGCUGGGCUGGGCUGGGCGAUUCUGUUCUGCGUGGAGCGUGGAGCGUGGAGCUAUUCUCUUGGCUCCGGCGAGCUCUCCAUGACCAUGGAUCCAAUUUUUGGGGGGCAGUUCGAUUCAGACAACAGGACUUGCUACAGGAUAGCGGUCUGCAGCCGCCAUUCUUCCUGAUGAUAGUCGAUUGAUCCGUGAGUCAUUCCUGUGCCCCGAUUAAGUUUGUCAUGGAACACAUAAGUCUGCUCAAUUUUGAAAGAAAGAAAAAUAGAGGAACUGAAAUUUUCAUCAUCAGUUCGUUUUGUCAUCUCAUCUAAGUUGUACAAAGGCUUCUGUAUUUUGCUAGGUAGCACUGCUCAUCAGAAGGGAGAAUUUUGUUCUGCGACGAAGAAAUUGCAAUACCCCCAGAGUUUAAUAAAAUCCGUGCAUGAUUACAUGAUUAAUGGAAAACUGCCAUAUUUCUUCCACAAAUCAAUUCAAGCAUCGUU